CCUACGGGAGGCAGCAGUGGGGAAUAUUGGACAAUGGGGGGAACCCUGAUCCAGCCAUGCCGCGUGUGUGAAGAAGGCCUUAGGGUUGUAAAGCACUUUCAGGAGUGAGGAAGGGUGCUUGGUUAAUAGCCAAGUAUUUUGACGUUAGCUCCAGAAGAAGCACCGGCUAACUCUGUGCCAGCAGCCGCGGUAAUA
rnacentral:rRNA from 1 species